rnacentral:lncRNA from 1 species
AAAGGAAGGAGAAGGAAGAGGAGAAGGGAAAGAAGUAGCUGCGGCUGCGGCUGUGGCAGCUGCAGCUAUGGCAGGGAAAGAGGAAGAGAAAGGAAGAAGGGAAGGAGAGGAAGAAGAGAAGGGAAAGAAGGGGCUGCGGCUGCGGCGAUGGCAGCUGCAGUUGGAAGAGAAGAAGGAGAGGAAGAUGAGUAGGGGAGGAAGAAGAGGCUGUGGCUGUGGCUGAGGCUGCGACUGCAGUAGUACAGCUGGGAAAGAAGAGAAGGAAAGGAAGAAGAAGAGAAAGGAAAAGGAAAGAAGAGAGGAAGAGGAGAAGGGGAGGCAGCUAUGGCAGUGGCAGCUACAGCUGGAAGAGAAGGAGAGGAAAUAGAGCAGGGGAGGAAGAAGAGGCUGCGGCCAUGGCUGUGACUGCGACUGCGGCAGUUGCAGCUGGGAAAGAAAGGAAAGGAAAGGGGGAAAAAAGAGGCUGCGGACAGGAAUGCGGCCGCGGCGGCAGUGACUGCGUAUGCAGCAGCAGCAGCGGCGGUGGUUGUGAUAGCUGUGUUUGAAAAAAAAGAAAACGAAGGAAUUAGAGUAAGAGAGAGCAGGUGACUAUGCCUCUAUGUUCUGCAUGAGCUGCAGUUGUGGAGGAAAAGUAGAAGGAUUUGGGCUGGCACACUCUUUGGAUCUUCGUAUCGAAAUCUUUGAAAGGCAAGUUUCCCGCUUGUUUCGAUCCUUUCUAUUGCAAAUGUUUCGAUCCUUUCUAUUGCAAGUUUCCUGAUCGUUUCUCCUGUAAUUGUUCUAAUCUUUCCUAUUGCAAGUAUCCUGAUCUUUCCUCUCUGCAAUUUUACCUCUACAUUUGCUUUGAAUAUGAGGAACUUUGAAUUGUUCUAGCCUUGCAUUUGAUAUAUCUCCUGUUUAGACGUAACGAUUCGAAUCUGUGCAACUUCCAAGAUUCUGACCUUUCUACCUUGUUAUGAUUACAACUUCAUGUAUUGACAUCUGAUUUGGACAAAACUUAUUUGAUCAGAAUAUAGACUCAUAAACCUUUGUUUUGAUAGCUUAUUUUAAGAAUUCGGAGUAAGUUUGUCUGCCCAAACUUCUGUUUCAAAUGAGCCUACAGAUUCUGCAAAACAGGGAUCGUAAUUUCUAACCUUUUGAUACUAAACUGCUUAUAAGUCCCUGUUGCAAACAUUGAAUUAUUCAAAGCUUAUUUCAUUGGAAACUAGACUCAUAGAUAUUUCUUUUGAUAUAUGGAUUGAAAGAUUUGGAAUCCAAACACCUGCCCAGUUAUCUGUUGAAUCUGACAUUAUGAAUUCUGCCAAACAGAGAUUUUGUUCUACGACCCUUGUUUACCAAAUUAUUUGUAACUCUCUCUAUUGGACAGUUCAAUUCAUAUGAAGCCUGUCUUAUCUGAAAGUAUAAUCCAAUGAUAUAUUUCUGAGUAAGUUGGAGCACGAUUGAUAGUUUGAAUCAUUUGUUCAAUGUGCCUCUUGUAUUCUGCCAGAAAUCGAGCUUUGGUCGAUUUCUAAUAUUCUGGUUUCAUUCCUUUGGAAAUUGAUAUCCUUUAGCUUUCUUAUUCAAUUGAGCUUUAUAUUACUGCUUUGAAUUCUUGUAUGCUCUUGUCCUUAAAGUUAUUUGCAUUCUUGAAAUACUAUUGUGUAACGUUUAUGCUAUAUCGUAUUGACUCAUUUAGGCACAUGUGUAUCCCAUUGUUCUGCAUUUGCUUUCGAUACGUGCCUAUUCCAUUUCCUUUCAAAAUCCGAAUACUAGUGUGAAAGAUUAUUGCUUACUUCGUAUUGACUCGUAAAGGCACAUGUACGUUUUGUUGUUCCGCGUGUGCUUCCGAUAUAUGCUACUUAUUGAUAAAACUGUCCUCUUCUACUCUAGUGUUGUGGGAUUGUCUGGACCUUUGCCAGAAAUGGUAAAGGAUGUUAUUCUGGACCUUUGCCAGAAAUGGUAAAGGGUAUGUGCUUAGAGCCUGCGAUGCUCUGCCGGCCCCCUCUGACUUCACCUAGACGUGGGUGGAUGGAGCUCCCAGACGUGGGAGACUUCUGUCAGGUGGUCAUUCAGAAAUGGAUGAAUCACAUUCUGACUGAGAUCCCACUACACCUUCUAUAUGUUUGAUAUGAUAUCCAGAGCUUUGGUUAUGUGUUUCUGUACAUGCUUUAUAUAAGAAUGAUAUGAUUGCAACGUCAAGGACGACGUUUGAGCUUCUGUAUGGUAUUUGUUAUUGAUAUGCUCUGAGAAGUUUCAUUCACUGUUGAUAUGCUUCGAAAUGUUCCAUAUGCCGUUGAUAUGCUCCGGAACAUUUCAUACGCCAUUGAUAAGCUCCGAAACAUUUCAUUUGUUAUUGAUAUGCUUCGAAAUGUUCCAUACACCAUUGAUAUGCUCCGGAACAUUUCAUUUGCCAUUGAUAAGCUCCGAUAUGUUUCAUUUGUUAUUGAUAUGCUUCCAAAUGUACCAUUUGCCAUUGAUAUGCUCCGGAACAUCUCGUACGCUAUUGAUAUGCUCCAAUUAUUCUAUGCUCCAUUUGUUAUGAAUCAAAUAUGUUUUGAAUGACAUGAUACAUAUGAUUUUGUAUCUAAUGAAAUAGUAUCCUUGAGAAUUCUUGUAUUCUGCCUUGCAUUAUGAUACCUUACUUGUUUGAAACCAUCCCUUUUGUUCUGAAUAUGCUUUGUCACUUGCUGAACUGUUUUUAGCUCAUUCCGUUGUUAUAUAAAUCUUUCAGGUCAGCUUGUCACCAUUUGAGAUGUUUGAUUUGGGCUGAGGUAGUGGAUAGCUAUUCAGAAUUAUGAGCAAGUCUUGUUGGUUGUUAUGCUAUUGUUGUAUAAGCAUAUUUUGUAUGUAAUGAAAUGUUGUUGAUGAAUCGAAAUGGAUAUACUAUGUAAAAGUGUUAGAAGAUCUCUCUUAUUUGGAAUUUCGGAAUGUUAAGUCUAAUUUAUGACGAUAUGAACUUGUGAUAAAUGGUUGGAGUUAUGAUCGUAUAAAUUACAUAGCUUGUGGAUUUAUAAAUGUUGUUUAUGUUUGUUAAGUUGGCUUGGAUUGCCAUAAAUAUGAAUUAUCGAGUGACGUGAU